UCCGAAUUAAAAUGUCUAAAUUCCUGAAAUUAAAUCCUGGAAUGGAACUUUUAAAUUGAGCAUUAUUUAUCUUAUGAAUUUUAUUAAAUAUCCAGGCAGUAAUUAAUUAUUCCUACGAGUGGGAUUACUUUAUGCGGUCUAAUCGUUACAGAGAUGUGGCUCAUAAAUUGUAUUCGGCUAGCUCGUUACUCUCAUUAAAUUUUUCUGCCAUUAAGUGAAAUUGCAGUUCCUCUUAGAAAGGUGCAUCAAAUUACUUGGCUCUGAAACGAGCGACCGAGAAAAUGCCAAAGCAGUGAGACGCAAUGAUAAUGUCGAGAAUUACCCGAGAAGUGCAAUGGAAAAAGUGUGUAUGAAAUAAGUGCAUAAUGCACUGUACGGUGCAUCCACCUCGGGAAGAACAGCGCACCAGUAUUAAUUGCACCAUUUCCCAUUUACCGUUCGAUCGUGAACUCGUAGAUUAGAAUUCUGUCUACUCCCCUUCUUCUGUACACAAUCGAGCGGUGUCGAAGUGCAAAUUAGCCUGCACUUUUGGCCAGUCGUGACUUUUCAAUCACUCAUCGAGUACGAGGUCAGGAUUUUGGAUUCGCUUGUCAAUUCUGAUACCAUAUAACAGAUAAGGAGGCUGAUGCGUGCAGAAAAGUGCACUUCCAAUCUUGGCGAACUUCAAAGAUCAGAGUCUCAAGUCGGCAACACUAGCACACGUUAAAAAGAUCCAUUAAAUUCACACACCGGGUAAACGUGGAGCUUAAGGGGGACAUUGUCAUAGAAGCCGUCCUAGAAUUUGCGUAAGAGGAACUUCCACGGCAAUAUGGAGAGCAACUAAACAAUUGUACGUGCAACUAGCAAUUUGGGUAAACGUGGAGCUUAAGGGGGACAUUGUCACAGAAGCCGUCCUAGAAUUUGCGUAAGAGGAACUUCCACGGCAAUAUGGAGAGCAACUAGACAAUACCUGCUCGUUACACCUGCGAUUCUCUGUAGUAUCCGGUAUAUGUAGUUACGUAGCAAGCCGUUCAGGAAAGGAAAUGCGAAACUGGUCUCCUGUCUCGAUAGACUGCAUCGUUGGUUUAGGUUUAUUCACCUG